rnacentral:rRNA from 1 species
UGGGGAAUAUUGCACAAUGGGCGAAAGCCUGAUGCAGCGACGCCGCGUGAGGGAUGACGGCCUUCGGGUUGUAAACCUCUUUCAGUAGGGACGAAGCGCAAGUGACGGUACCUGCAGAAGAAGCACCGGCUAACUACGUGCCAGCAGCCGCGGUAAUACGUAGGGUGCGAGCGUUGUCCGGAAUUACUGGGCGUAAAGAGCUCGUAGGCGGUUUGUCACGUCGUCUGUGAAAUCCUAGGGCUUAACCCUGGACGUGCAGGCGCUACGGGCUGACUUGAGUACUACAGGGGAGACUGGAAUUUCUUGUGUAGCGGUGGAAUGCACAGAUAUCAGGAAGAACACCGAUGGCGAAGGCAGGUCUCUGGGUAGUAACUGAAGCUGAGGAGCGAAAGCAUGGGUAGCGAACAGG